rnacentral:lncRNA from 1 species
GCAGGAGAUCUGGCUCCAGCCCUCACUCUGCCAGUAACCUCGGGUAUUCUGAGAAGUAAAGGAAAUCAUGAACCUGAAGUGUGGAGAGUGGUGUUAGCCAUAGAGGCUCCAUGUUAAAUAUUACCCUCCAUUGUAUAGAGCAAGGAGACUGUUACGAGGAACCGCGUCCUUGCCAAAUUAGAUGUUUACCUUCAGAAAUUGUCCUGGAACAUGAUGAACAUUUUGUAAACCCGAGAAACGAGAAAGCCCAUGAGGGUGGGGAAUUUCCAAAGAACUAGAGAACAAGGAAGCAGGUGUCUUUGAUAAGGGUCAUGAUUAAUAACCAAAUUCACCUGUGAUAAAAAGGGGAGGAGAAUAAAAAAGGUGGCAGCAGGCUCUCUGAGAGGCUCCCGACUCUAUCUCUGCGUCUUUUUCUUCAUCCUCACUCCCCCAUUCAGGUGCAGUUUGACAAGUGACGGCUGGCUCCUUCACUGAAGUGCUUUGGAAAGUGUUCACAUAUCCGUGGUAAAAGCACCAUAGUCUUGAUCAGGGUUCCAAUGGGAAACACAUAGGUGAACCCAGGAGAAUUUAAUAG